GUGGGGAAUAUUGCGCAAUGGGCGAAAGCCUGACGCAGCCACGCCGCGUGUGUGAUGAAGGCCCUAGGGUCGUAAAGCACUGUCGAGGGGGAAGAAGUUCUGACGGUACCCCUCAAGAAAGCACCGGCUAACUCCGUGCCAGCAGCCGCGGUAAUACGGAGGGUGCAAGCGUUGCUCGGAAUCACUGGGCGUAAAGCGUACGCAGGCGGCUUGGUAAGUUGGGUGUGAAAUCCCGGGGCUCAACCCCGGAACUGCAUUCAAGACUGCCUAGCUUGAAUACGGGAGAGGGAAGCGGAAUUCCUGGUGUAGAGGUGAAAUUCGUAGAUAUCAGGAGGAACACCAGUGGCGAAAGCGGCUUCCUGGCCCGAUAUUGACGCUCAUGUACGAAAGCGUGGGGAGCAAACAGGAUUAGAAACCCCUGUAGUCC
rnacentral:rRNA from 1 species